rnacentral:tRNA from 1 species
GAGAGAGGCACGAAGCAUCAAGUACUGCUAAUUCUUGACACUUGGGCUAAAUUCCCAGGCUCACUCG